rnacentral:rRNA from 1 species
ACCCGCGUACAUGCCACCGGGGCAUCCCGGAGGCAGGAAAGGCUUCGGCCGGACAGGGAUGGGCAUGCGGCGCAUUAGGCAGUAGGCGGGGUAACGGCCCACCUAACCGACGAUGCGUAGGGGUUCUGAGAGGAAGGUCCCCCACACUGGUACUGAGACACGGACCAGACUCCUACGGGAGGCAGCAGUGAGGAAUAUUGGUCAAUGGUCGGGAGACUGAACCAGCCAAGCCGCGUGAGGGAUGAAGGUACAGAGUAUCGUAAACCUCUUUUGUCAGGGAACAAAGGCGGGGACGUGUCCCCGGAUGAGUGUACCUGAAGAAAAAGCAUCGGCUAACUCCGUGCCAGCAGCCGCGGUAAUGCGGAGGAUGCGAGCGUUAUCCGGAUUUAUUGGGUUUAAAGGGUGCGCAGGCGGUCUGUUAAGUCAGCGGUCAAAGCCCGGGGCUCAACCCCGGCCCGCCGUUGAAACUGGCAGUCUCGAGUUGGAGAGAAGUAUGCGGAAUGCGCGGUGUAGCGGUGAAAUGCAUAGAUAUCGCGCAGAACUCCGAUUGCGAAGGCAGCAUGCCGGCUCCACACUGACGCUGAGGCACGAAAGCGUGGGUAUCGAACAGGAUUAGAUACCCUGGUAGUCCACGCAGUAAACGAU